rnacentral:rRNA from 1 species
CAUGCAAGUCGAGCGGGGAAGAGUAGCUUGCUACUUUACCUAGCGGCGGACGGGUGAGUAAUGCUUAGGAAUCUGCCUAUUAGUGGGGGACAACAUCUCGAAAGGGAUGCUAAUACCGCAUACGUCCUACGGGAGAAAGCAGGGGACCUUCGGGCCUUGCGCUAAUAGAUGAGCCUAAGUCGGAUUAGCUAGUUGGUGGGGUAAAGGCCUACCAAGGCGACGAUCUGUAGCGGGUCUGAGAGGAUGAUCCGCCACACUGGGACUGAGACACGGCCCAGACUCCUACGGGAGGCAGCAGUGGGGAAUAUUGGACAAUGGGGGGAACCCUGAUCCAGCCAUGCCGCGUGUGUGAAGAAGGCCUUUUGGUUGUAAAGCACUUUAAGCGAGGAGGAGGCUACCGAGAUUAAUACUCUUGGAUAGUGGACGUUACUCGCAGAAUAAGCACCGGCUAACUCUGUGCCAGCAGCCGCGGUAAUACAGAGGGUGCAAGCGUUAAUCGGAUUUACUGGGCGUAAAGCGCGCGUAGGUGGCCAAUUAAGUCAAAUGUGAAAUCCCCGAGCUUAACUUGGGAAUUGCAUUCGAUACUGGUUGGCUAGAGUAUGGGAGAGGAUGGUAGAAUUCCAGGUGUAGCGGUGAAAUGCGUAGAGAUCUGGAGGAAUACCGAUGGCGAAGGCAGCCAUCUGGCCUAAUACUGACACUGAGGUGCGAAAGCAUGGGGAGCAAACAGGAUUAGAUACCCUGGUAGUCCAUGCCGUAAACGAUGUCUACUAGCCGUUGGGGCCUUUGAGGCUUUAGUGGCGCAGCUAACGCGAUAAGUAGACCGCCUGGGGAGUACGGUCGCAAGACUAAAACUCAAAUGAAUUGACGGGGGCCCGCACAAGCGGUGGAGCAUGUGGUUUAAUUCGAUGCAACGCGAAGAACCUUACCUGGUCUUGACAUAGUAAGAACUUUCCAGAGAUGGAUUGGUGCCUUCGGGAACUUACA